GUUUAAACCAAGGAACAAAAGUGCUGAGCCUCUUGAAAUGCUGGUUUUCACUCUCCCUUUGCAACAGGACCCCCCACAGUGGCAAAGACAUGUUUCUCUCUUUUGAGAUGAAGAAAAGGAGGCUCAGAUAGUUUAAGAAACUUUCUCUCUUCACAUCAUGAGUAAGAGGCAGAGCCAAAAGCAAAUGCAGGUUAAUGUGAACCUACACUCAAAUCCUGGGACUUGCCCCAGACCAGGUUGGGUGAGAAGAUGAUGAAGAUAUUGAGGCUCAAAAGUUGCUAGUGAGAAGCGGAGCCAAGAGCCAGAUCCAAAAUCCCUCUGGCCCUGAAGCCUGCAUUGUUUCCACUGUGCAAAGUUGUCUGAAUGGUGCAAUGGAGGUUAUCAACAAUGACACCAGCCAUGGAUGUGGAGGGUAUCCUUUCCUUUGCGUCUGUCAACAGGCCUGCAAGAGGAUUUGGCAGUGUGUGCAGGGGGUUAGGGCACAGGUUCUGGAAGCAGGUUUGGUACACAGGGCCUUACAUAAUUCAUAUAACCUUUCUUUACCUUAACUUUCUCCUCUCUAAAAUGGGGAGGAGAGGGUUGUAAUACUGCUAACCACACAGACGUCUGUGGUGAUUCAGUGAGGCAGCACAUAUAUGAAGGCCUUAGUAAUGCUGGACACACAGGAAGGCCUCAAAAAUAUUAACCCUUAUUAUAGCUAACCCUGUUAUUCAAA
rnacentral:lncRNA from 13 species